UAACCGGGGUAGGACCGGUAGUAAGAAAAGGUAGUACUUACUUAGCUAGGAUGGAGGCAUGGAAAGAAAUUGAAAUGUCUAAGCCUAUCGACAAAAAUCUGGGUAAGCCAGGUGAGCAACUUAGAAGGCUGUAAUGAGA
rfam:Clostridium grantii DSM 8605 genome assembly, contig: EJ34DRAFT_scaffold00020.20